rnacentral:rRNA from 1 species
GCCUAACACAUGCAAGUCGAGCGCGAACGGGGACUUCGGUUCCCUAGUAGAGCGGCGAACGGGUGAGUAACACGUGGGUAAUCUGCCUCCGGGUGGGGAAUAACUCAGGGAAACUUGAGCUAAUUCCGCAUAACGUGGCCGAUCACAAGAUCGGCUACCAAAGCUGGGGACCCUUCGGGGCCUGGCGCCUGGAGAGGAGCCCGCGGCCAAUUAGCUUGUUGGUGAGGUAAUGGCUCACCAAGGCUCCGAUUGGUAGCCGGCCUGAGAGGGCGGACGGUCACACUGGAACUGAGACACGGUCCAGACUCCUACGGGAGGCAGCAGUGAGGAAUUUUCGUCAAUGGGGGAAACCCUGAACGAGCAACGCCGCGUGGAGGACGAAGACCUUCGGGUUGUAAACUCCUGUCGGACGGGACGAAAGUUACCGAGGUCAAUACCCUUGGUAGUUGACGGUACCGUACGAGGAAGCCCCGGCUAACUUCGUGCCAGCAGCCGCGGUAAUACGAGGGGGGCAAGCGUUGUUCGGAAUUACUGGGCGUAAAGGGCGCGUAGGCGGUUUGGAAAGUCUCCCGUGAAAGCCCACGGCUCAACCGUGGAACUGCGGGGGAAACUGGCAGACUUGAGUCCGGGAGGGGGGAGUGGAAUUCCCAGUGUAGCGGUGAAAUGCGCAGAUAUUGGGAGGAACACCGG